UGAGGAAUAUUGGACAACGGAUGGAAAUCUGAUCCAGCCAUGCCGCGUGCAGGAAGACUGCCCUAUGGGUUGUAAACUGCUUUUGUAUGGGAGCAAUAAGCCCUUCGUGAAGGGUGAUGAGAGUACCAUACGAAUAAGCAUCGGCUAACUCCGUG
rnacentral:rRNA from 1 species